ACAUAGCUUUGUGUUCGCUCACUAACUCGAAAGAGAAGGGUUAUCGAACGCCGUCUCUAAACGCCUGCCGUUCCGAUUCUUCAGGAAGGCGGCUCCAAUGGCGAUGCGGUGGCUGGCGAGGACGGCGAUGCAGUUACUGCCGGAGCAGCCGGCGGUGCGCUCAUUCUCCUCCAUGUUGCCUUCUGCGUUUUCGGAGGCGUCGGCGGCGAUUGGUUCCGUGGUGCCGUGCGGUCGCGGGGACAAAAAGACGAAACGGGGGAAGCGAUUCAAGGGGUCGUUCGGCAACUCGCGGGGUAAACGGAAGAAGAUGAUCCAGCGCAUCAAGGACCGCGUCGAGGUCCCCAGGUCUACCCCCUGGCCCCUCCCUUUCAAACUUAUAUGAAACCCCAACUCGUAUCUAGGUCCGGGUUUUGUUCCACUGUAAAAGAUGUGACUUUUCUCUUCAUGAUUAAUAUGUUGAUGUACCAACUUUGUUGCUUUUGGUUGUGACAUAUGAAUCUUUGAUGGCCUAUCGUUGUGAUAUUAAGUGUACUGAAAUAAGUUCUCCA